ACCAACUUCAAAGGAGAUUGACUUUAAUUUGAUGAUUUAUUGUUUCAUUAGUUCGUAAAAGGUGUGUUUUUAUGUUUUGUCUGUCGUCUUCGUCCAUUGUACCAAAGAGCCAUUUCGACAUUGUGCCUAUUGCGUUAACUAAACCUCUUUUAUUUCUGUUUUUGUUUGGCAUGAGUGUCAUUAGCUUAUUCCUAACUUCUAGUAACUCCCUUUGUAAUAUUUCUUUAUUUUCCAUUUUUAUUAAAAUUACAUUAUCUGUCAUAUCAUUAAUGAUAUUUUCUUUUUUUUGAAGAUCUAUCAUAUGUAUAACUAUGUCGCUGUCUUUAGGUAUUUCUUGAUUUCUAAUUUCUAAAUCUAUGAAUCCGUUUUGUUCCGUUAUUUCUGUCAAAUCUAUUGUCCCGUCACAAUGUUGUGUCAUUAAAGCUAUUACUGUCCACAUUAUCCAAAUCUGUAAAUUUUUAAGGUCUUUUUAUAUUGCUAGUAUGGAAUUUUUCUAAGUUUUGUUUUCUAUAUUUAGGCUGUUCCUUGUGCCUAACUGCUUUAUAAUUUUUUAUAAAUCCUUCCGUUCUUUGUUCUGUAUAGUCUUCCCUGUUCCUAUUUAGUUUGUUGAUUGUCUUUUCUUUUUGUUGUUCUAAAUUUUUUCUUACUAUCUCUUUAUCUACUUUAUUGUUAUGUACCUCGUUGGGUGUGAAUUUUAUUGUAGAAUCAAAUCUGUUGCGUCAAGCGACAAGAUAUAUAUGUGUAUUUAAACCUGAAAUUAAAAUUAAGAAAAAUGAAUUAUAAAAAAUUAUAAAAUAUUGAAUUAUCUAAAUUAUUGUAUACUUACCUUAAUUAUGCAUUCAUACUACUAAUCUACUACUUACCUUAAUACUUACCAUAAUCUAUUACAAUAUUGAACGAAAAGUUGAAGAUAAUUAUGGCCCCUAUUAUGCGUUGCAUUCGAUCUUCGACAACGAUCAAAAAUGCUGGUCGAACGAAUUUGCAUUUGGUAUUACGACGCUCAUUCGAUGAAGAUUGGCGUUAUUGUGAAUUGCAAUCAUUUUGAAUGUUCACGAUAGUAUACAUCUGUCAGAUGGUGUAAAAACUAAAAGCGUUUUGUUUACGAAGUGUGAAAGUAAAACGAACUAAUAUUUUAUAAAUAAAGAAAAUAUAAAUAAAAGUUAAAAUAAAAUAUGACUACGACUGAGUUGUGGUUUGGCGAUUCUUCAGAGGAGGAUGAAAGCUUACUCGAAUUGGCUAGAAAUAGAAAGAAGCUAAGGGACGCUUCCAACCCUUUGGAAUAGGAUUCCGCUACAUUUAUAAAAAACUUCCGUUUGUCGAAAGAGGCGUUUGUUGAUUUGCUGUCCGCUACAGAGGAGAUGCUGCAGCGAUGCACACGAGCGAAAUCUAUUCCCAAUAUACUAAAAUUGGCAACAACUUUACGAUUUUGUGCUCAGGGAUCGUAUCAACUUAGUAUAGGGAACGAAAACAUGCUUGGACUUGCACAGCCCACGAUGUCUGUGGUACUAUCUGAGGUACUCGAUGCCCUGGAGAAUUUCAUUUGCCAAAGAUGGAUAAAAUUCAAUUAUACCGAGGCUGAAAUGCAACAAGCAAAAUCUUAUUUUUAUAGUAAUACCAGAUUUCCUGGGGUAAUCGGUUGUGUUGAUGGUACACACAUCAAAAUUGUGGCUCCCAAAAAGGAGUUGCAGCAUUUAUAUUACAACAGAAAAGGAUUCUUUAGCAUUAAUGCUAUGAUUUGCAUACUUACAGCAAACAAGUUUGUCGUAAAUUUGUAGUUGAGCAUUUUUGGCUUUUAUAUUAAUUACAGGUUUGUGAUCAUACAAUGAACAUAUGGUAUAUAAAUGCAAAGAAUCCGGGGGCAACGCAUGAUUCAAUGAUUUUCAACAUGUCAGCAUUGAAAGCAUAUUUAGAACAGCAAGUCGAAAAUGGUCUUCGCAAUACUUGGCUACUUGGAGACGCUGGAUACGCUCUAAAAACAUAUUUGAUGACACCUUUUAGAAAUUCUGAAGAAGGAUCUCCAGAAAGCAGAUACAAUACACAACAUUCGAGAGCAAGAAAUAUAGUAGAGCGCACUAUUGGAGUGUUGAAAAAUAGAUUCAGAUGUUUGUUACAAGCAAGAGCUCUCCACUAUUCUCCAAAAAAGGCGACACAAAUUAUUAAUGUUUGUGCAGCUUUACACAACAUUUGCGUAUUUUAUAAAGUCGAAAUUUCUCCUGAAGAAUUUCCUUAUGAGGCAAACGACAGUAAUGGUGGAGUCAUUGAAGUUGAAUCUGAUAACGACUCGGAAGCAGCAGCAAUUAGAAAUCGUAUAUCAAGAACGUUUUAGAUAUAAUUAAAAAAAAAUAAAUUAGAAGUUUAUUUAUUCAAAAUAUUUAUUAUGGAAUUCAUUGUUCAUGUUUAUCUACGUAAUAAAAAAUACUCUUUGACAAAAAAUAUCACAUGAUUCAUUUACCUUUUGUUCUUAGAAGUAUAUACAGUCUUAAGAUACUAAUA